UACGGAGGAUGCAAGCGUUAUCCGGAAUUAUUGGGCGUAAAGCGUCCGCAGGUGGCGAUGUAAGUCUGCUGUUAAAGAGUGAGGCUCAACCUCAUAAGAGCAGUGGAAACUACAUAGCUAGAGUGCGGUAGGGGCAGAGGGAAUUCCUGGUGUAGCGGUGAAAUGCGUAGAGAUCAGGAAGAACACCGGUGGCGAAAGCGCUCUGCUAGGCCGCAACUGACACUGAGGGACGAAAGCUAGGGGAGCGAAUGGG
rnacentral:rRNA from 1 species